rnacentral:rRNA from 1 species
GACGAACGCUGGCGGCGUGCCUAAUACAUGCAAGUUGAGCGCUGAAGGUUGGUACUUGUACCGACUGGAUGAGCAGCGAACGGGUGAGUAACGCGUGGGGAAUCUGCCUUUGAGCGGGGGACAACAUUUGGAAACGAAUGCUAAUACCGCAUAAAAACUUUAAACACAAGUUUUAAGUUUGAAAGAUGCAAUUGCAUCACUCAAAGAUGAUCCCGCGUUGUAUUAGCUAGUUGGUGAGGUAAAGGCUCACCAAGGCGAUGAUACAUAGCCGACCUGAGAGGGUGAUCGGCCACAUUGGGACUGAGACACGGCCCAAACUCCUACGGGAGGCAGCAGUAGGGAAUCUUCGGCAAUGGACGAAAGUCUGACCGAGCAACGCCGCGUGAGUGAAGAAGGUUUUCGGAUCGUAAAACUCUGUUGGUAGAGAAGAACGUUGGUGAGAGUGGAAAGCUCAUCGAGUGACGGUAACUACCCAGAAAGGGACGGCUAACUACGCG